rnacentral:rRNA from 1 species
UGGGGAAUUUUGCACAAUGGGCGGAAGCCUGAUGCAGCGACGCCGUGUGGGGGAUGAAGGCCUUCGGGUUGUAAACUCCUUUCGUCAGGGACGAAGUUUGUUUGACGGUACCUGGAUAAGAAGCACCGGCUAACUACGUGCCAGCAGCCGCGGUAAUACGUAGGGUGCGAGCGUUGUCCGGAUUUACUGGGCGUAAAGGGCUCGUAGGUGGUGUGUUGCGUCGUCUGUGUAAUCCAGGGGCUUAACUUUUGGAUGGCAGGCGAUACGGGCAUUGCUUGAGUGCUGUAGGGGAGACUGGAAUUCCUGGUGUAGCGGUGAAAUGCGCAGAUAUCAGGAGGAACACCGAUGGCGAAGGCAGGUCUCUGGGCAGUUACUGACGCUGAGGAGCGAGAGCAUGGGUAGCGAACAGG